GUGAACACGAGAUGGGAUUAUUAGCUCUCAUUAAAACCCGUUCUAAUCCCUGGCUCUUUACUGUACUAUCUUUGCAGCCAGGAUAUGAAUCACUGGUCGCCAAUUUCUGGUAUAUUCUUCUGCAGCAGACAGAACUGCAAAUGUCAGCCCCAGCAAGGAGAAGACUCACAGUUCCAACACAGUCUCCGUGGUCUAUCAAUUUAAAAAAAUAUUAAGAACCACGUCUCUGAACAUCUGUGUGGUAGCUGACAUUUA
rnacentral:lncRNA from 1 species